rnacentral:lncRNA from 1 species
AAGUUGAAAUCAUCCCUUCGUAAAUUUUACGGACGCCAUCACGAGUUGAUUGACCGUUAUGGAAUAACCGUUUCACAAAUGAUAUCGGAUAUGUUCCUUACGUCGUAACUACAAUCCCCUUCCCUUUCAUGAAUGCGACCUACCGAAUUAGACUAUUUACCGGAUUUGUAACCACAUAAGCAACACGACGGGUGCCACAUGUGGAGCAGGAUCUGCUUACCCUUCCGGAGCACCUGAGAUCACCCCUAGUUUUUGGUGGGGUUCGUGUUGUUUAUUCUUUAGUUUUCUAUGUUGUGUCAUG